rnacentral:rRNA from 1 species
GACGAACGCUGGCGGCGUGCUUAACACAUGCAAGUCGAACGGAAAGGCCCUGCUUUUGUGGGGUGCUCGAGUGGCGAACGGGUGAGUAACACGUGAGUAACCUGCCCUUGACUUUGGGAUAACUUCAGGAAACUGGGGCUAAUACCGGAUAGGAGCUCCUGCUGCAUGGUGGGGGUUGGAAAGUUUCGGCGGUUGGGGAUGGACUCGCGGCUUAUCAGCUUGUUGGUGGGGUAGUGGCUUACCAAGGCUUUGACGGGUAGCCGGCCUGAGAGGGUGACAGGCCACAUUGGGACUGGGAUACGGCCCAGACGCCUACGGGAGGCAGCAGUGGGGAAUAUAGCACAAUGGGCGGAAGCCUGAUGCAGCAACGCCGCGUGCGGGAUGACGGCCUUCGGGUUGUAAACCGCUUUCGCCUGUGACGAAGCGUGAGUGACGGUAAUGGGUAAAGAAGCACCGGCUAACUACGU